AUAACUGCCAUAACAUGUAUAUGAAAACUAGAACAACUGAGAGAAGGAAAGCAUGGUCCCUGGGCGAUGAUGGCAUCCAAAUUUAUGAAAUGUUCAAUAUUUUU
ensembl:snRNA U6 U6 spliceosomal RNA